AGAGUUUGAUCCUGGCUCAGAACGAACGCUGGCGGCAGGCUUCAUACAUGCAAGUCGAGCGCGAAAGUCUCCUUCGGGGGGCUAGUAGAGCGGCGAACGGGUGAGUACAAGGUGGAUAAUCUACCUUCCGGAGGGGGAUAGCCCCGCGAAAGCGGGGGUAAUACCGCGUACGGUUGUCCUGCCCUCGGGCGGGACAAAGAAAGGGGCCCUUAAAGCCUCGCCGGAAGAUGAGUCCGCCCCCCAUUAGCUAGUUGGCAGGGUAACGGCCUACCAAGGUGACGAUGGGUAGCCGGGCUGAGAGGUUGACCGGCCACACUGGGACUGAGAUACGGCCCAGACACCUACGGGUGGCAGCAGUAGGGAAUAUUGCACAAUGGGCGAAAGCUUGAUGCAGCCAUGCCGCGUGGAGGAUGAAGGCCUUCGGGUCGUAAACUCCUUUUCUGAGGGAAGAACAAGCGGAGGAGGAAAUGUCUCCGCCUUGACGGUACCUCAGGAAGAAGCAACGGCUAACUCCGUGCCAGCAGCCGCGGUAAUACGGAGGUUGCAAGCGUUGUUCGGAAUUACUGGGCGUAAAGGGAGCGCAGGCGGUCGGGCAAGUCUGGAGUGAAAACCCGGAGCUCAACUCCGGGCCGGCUUUGGAUACUGCCCAACUUGAGUACGUGAGAGGAGAGCGGAAUUCCAGGUGUAGCGGUGAAAUGCGUAGAUAUCUGGAGGAACACCGGUGGCGAAAGCGGCUCUCUGGCACGAUACUGACGCUCAGGCUCGAAAGCGUGGGGAGCAAACGGGAUUAGAUACCCCGGUAGUCCACGCCGUAAACGUUGUGCACUAGGUGUGGGAGGUAUCGACCCCUUCCGUGCCAAAGUUAACGCAUUAAGUGCACCGCCUGGGGAGUACGGUCGCAAGACUGAAACUCAAAGGAAUUGACGGGGGCCCGCACAAGCGGUGGAGCAUGUGGUUCAAUUCGAGGCAACGCGAAGAACCUUACCCAGGCUUGACAUCCCGGGAACCCUCCCGAAAAGGAGGGGUGCCCUUCGGGGAAUCCGGAGACAGGUGUUGCAUGGCUGUCGUCAGCUCGUGUCGUGAGAUGUUGGGUUAAGUCCCGCAACGAGCGCAACCCUUGUCCUUAGUUACCAGCGGUUCGGCCGGGCACUCUAAGGAGACUGCCGGUGAUAAGCCGGAGGAAGGUGGGGACGACGUCAAGUCAUCACGGCCCUUAUGCCUGGGGCUACACACGUGCUACAAUGGCCGAUACAAAGGGUCGCAAUACCGCGAGGUGGAGCCAAUCCCAAAAAGUCGGUCUCAGUUCGGAUUGGAGUCUGCAACUCGACUCCAUGAAGUCGGAAUCGCUAGUAAUCGCGUAUCAGCUACGACGCGGUGAAUACGUUCCCGGGCCUUGUACACACCGCCUGUCACAUGACCCGAGUCGAGUGCACCCGAAGUCGCUGGCCCAACCCGCAAGGGGGGGAGGCGCCGAAGGUGUGCUUGGUAAGGGGGAUGAAGUCGUAACAAGGUA
rnacentral:rRNA from 1 species